AUGGAAGGCCAAGCUGAUCGCACUCCCGGGCAGGAUCGAAUUGGUCAGAUCGGUGCCGAAUUGGUCAGAUCGGUGCUAACUGCCAUGGCCAUCUACCGGAUCAUGGCGAUCGCGCCGCCCGUUUGGUUCCUCAAAAUGAUCGAUAGGCUGAGACGAGGCUUCCUUUGGGCGGCAGACGAGUCCUCGCCGAGCGGCAAGUGACUCGUGAGCUGGAAGCAGGUUUGCAGGCCGCGCGAGUUUGGUGGCCUUGGGGUGCACGAUCUGCAGCGCCAAGGGGCCGCACUCUGCGCUCGCUAGUACUGGAACAGUUGGAUCGAUGACUCCAGGCCUUGGCGC
rnacentral:rRNA from 1 species